UGGGGCAGGCCAGAGGACAGUGACCCAGGAAGGAUCCCCUCUACUGCCCAGCCAAGCUGACAAAGUAGAAAAAGACCAUGGGCUGGUGUGCUUCUCAAAUUGGGCCUGAAAACUUUGGAAAAGUUCCUUUGCAAGGAGUAGUAAGUCCUGGAUUGCAGUCGUGCUCAGCUUUAGUUGGAAUGGGCAGCACUUGGUCAGUAGAGUAUUUUUAGCAACCAGAUGCCUCUGUCAAUCCAAAGCAGAGACAGCUGAAGUGGUCCAAGAGAAGAGGAGAGGUGAUGCUUGCUGCUCUGGGACCCUUCAGCUGUCAGACUUCAACUUUCUCAAGAAUGAGGACAUUGGAAGGAUUAGUCUAAAAUCCCAGCUAUUGAACACUGGAGGCCACUCAUCUUGAUCAUCAGACAGCUCUCACUGAAGUUGAAAAGAAAGACACUUGCAGAUCUGGAGUUAUGGCUUAUCUUCCAGACACAGGUUCAGCCCAACCCAAGGUCAAGGAAGACAGCUACCUGCCUGAAGUCAGAAAGAGAGAAGGAGCAUCAAGCCUGGUGCUUUAGUUUCAACGGUGAGUCUCAACCUUCUCAGAACAACAAGAUUAUAUUAUUAAGACAUGGUAGAGGGCAGUGCAGUGGAUGAGAAUUCAGGGGACAUGAGUUCAGUCCCUGGUUCGGGAAUAUUCCAUAUGCCAUGGAGCAACUAAACCCAUA